AUAGGGCAUGUGGAAGAGACCCCGCACAUCGGGGCGCCGAAGGCGCAACUAGCUCGGAAACGCUCAGGCAAAGGGACUGCGUGCUCUGA
rnacentral:ncRNA from 1 species